ACAUAGUGGUUAUCGUCCACAGAGAUAUUGAUACACACCACCAAGUUGUCUAGUUCCUCACCAUGAACUUUCGGAAAGUCAUUCUGAUAUACCUCGUUGUGUUUGCGUGGUUCGUUGUGUAUCACUUGGUUCUGGGUCAGGACGAGAUUACAUUCUACGCGGGGCCCCGUGUCCUUAUUGGACCACCCGCACCAGUCUAUAACCAACCCCUGGGCUUCAACGGGUCCGGAAACUCCGGGGACCUCGUAGGAAUAGGAAUAGCGGGCUAUCUGGUCUAUACACUGCUCAAAUUCCUGGUCCCAUUAGUUUUUAUAUCAUUCGCUGGGCGAUCACUCAGCAACUGAGUUUGGAAUUUCCUCUUGGGUAUUUGUAAAGAAUAAAGUUCUGCAUACAUU
rnacentral:misc_RNA from 1 species